rnacentral:rRNA from 1 species
UACGAAGGGUGCAAACGUUGCUCGGAAUCAUUGGGCGUAAAGCGCACGUAGGCGGCUUUGCAAGUCGGAUGUGAAAUCCCGUGGCUCAACCAUGGACGUGCAUUCGAAACUGCAAGCUUGAGUAUGGAAGAGGGUCGCGGAAGUUCCCGGUGUAGAGGUGAAAUUCGUAGAUAUCGGGAGGAACACCAGUGGCGAAGGCGGCGACCUGGGCCAAUACUGACGCUGAGGUGCGAAAGCGUGGGGAGCGAACAGG